GACAGAGGGGGCAAGCGUUGCUCGGAAUUACUGGGCGUAAAGGGCGCGUAGGCGGGAUGGCAAGUCGGUCGUGAAAUCCCUCGGCUCAACCGAGGAACGUCGAUCGAUACUGCUGUUCUUGAGGAUUGCAGAGGAGACUGGAAUUCCCGGUGUAGCGGUGAAAUGUGUAGAGAUCGGGAGGAACACCGGUGGCGAAGGCGGGUCUCUGGGCAUUAACUGACGCUGAGGUGCGAAAGCGUGGGGAGCAAACAGG
rnacentral:rRNA from 1 species